GACGAACGCUGGCGGCGUGCUUAACACAUGCAAGUCGAACGGAAAGGCCCUGCUUGCAGGGUACUCGAGUGGCGAACGGGUGAGUAACACGUGGGUGAUCUGCCCUGCACUUCGGGAUAAGCCUGGGAAACUGGGUCUAAUACCGGAUAGGAGCCAUUUUUAGUGUGAUGGUUGGAAAGUUUUUUCGGUGUAGGAUGAGCUCGCGGCCUAUCAGCUUGUUGGUGGGGUAAUGGCCUACCAAGGCGGCGACGGGUAGCCGGCCUGAGAGGGUGGACGGCCACAUUGGGACUGAGAUACGGCCCAGACUCCUACGGGAGGCAGCAGUGGGGAAUAUUGCACAAAGGGCGCAAGCCUGAUGCAGCGACGCCGCGUGGGGGAUGACGGCCUUCGGGUUGUAAACUCCUUUCGCUAGGGACGAAGCUUUUUGUGACGGUACCUAGAUAAGAAGCACCGGCUAACUACGUG
rnacentral:rRNA from 1 species